AUUGAACGCUGGCGGCAGGCCUAACACAUGCAAGUCGAGCGGUAACAGAUCUAGCUUGCUAGAUGCUGACGAGCGGCGGACGGGUGAGUAACGCGUAGGAAUCUACCUGAUAGUGGGGGAUAGCCCAGAGAAAUUUGGAUUAAUACCGCAUACGCCCUACGGGGGAAAGGAGGGGAUCUUCGGACCUUUCGCUAUCAGAUGAGCCUGCGUGGGAUUAGCUAGUUGGUGAGGUAAAGGCUCACCAAGGCGACGAUCUCUAGCUGGUCUGAGAGGAUGAUCAGCCACACUGGGACUGAGACACGGCCCAGACUCCUACGGGAGCAGCAGUGGGGAAUAUUGGACAAUGGGGGCAACCCUGAUCCAGCCAUGCCGCGUG
rnacentral:rRNA from 1 species